GGUGACCAUAGCGGCGGGGACACACCUCUUCCCAUUCCGAACAGAGCCGUUAAGCCCGCCAACGCCGAUGGUACUACUUGGGAGACCUUGUGGGAGAGUAGGUCGUC
rnacentral:rRNA from 1 species